GGUCAGCUGACACAUCCCUGCCAAUCUCCGGCAGACCCUCCUUCCCAGACCUUCCCACCUCAUGGACAGCAUCCAUGUUGAAGCUGCCUUCAACAUGGAUGCUGUCCAGGAAGUAGGAGGGUCUGGGAGGGAGGGUCUGCCGGAGAUUGGCAGGGAUGUGUCAGCUG